AAAAAAAAAACAGAAGAAACGAAAAAAAAGAAUGGGAAGACGAGUGCAGCGGAAAGUUAGGAAAUUAACGAGGACGAGGCGAGCGCCUCUCGGCGGCGUUCCAGCGAGUGAUCGUGGUUUCACGGGUUGGCCCGUAGCCAGGCGUCCCGACGCUUGCCGAGAGGGUGGACCGAGUCCGGCCGAAGACGGCGUCCCGGCGUCGAGCGUCCGUCAGUGCGUGUGUGACAUGGCUGCGAGGCGCUACGGCCACCUAGACGCCCUCCACCUCGCGAUGUGAACACACCCGCAGCGUCCUCGAACGAUCGCUCAACGAUCCCACGUUUCUUCCACGCUCCUUUUCUCUCUCUCUUUCUCUCUUUCUCUCUCUCUCUCUCUCUCUCUGUCCAUCUAGCCGCGUCGUUAGCCACGACCCCAGGUGAAGAACGCGCGAUCUGUUCGAAGGCCUCGAACGCCUUCGAAAAGUUUCGAAAGUCGAGGGGAAAAUGACGGUGAUCGCGGGAUAGUUGAGAACGUUGAGGAACAUUGAGGAGCUGGGAAAAUCGUCGACGGAGGGCGCUUGAAACUCGGUUAGUGAAUGAGUUGAAAGUGAAGGUGCUGAAGUUCGAAGACUUUUGGUGAGAUGAAUCUGGUUGCCGAUUUUCAUUGAGACGUUGAGAGGAGAGAAAGGGGACGAUACACAGUGAAUCGAGCGAUUGGAUUUGAACAGCGAGGCACGAGCCUCGAGAGGAGGAACCUUCGAGUCUCGCGUCAAGCGUCUCGCGGAAACGAAGUUGAACGUAUCAUUCCCGCAGCGAGACGACACACGUUACACUAACUACUGCAUUCCCUGUAAAGAAGUCGUCGGGCAGUUCUCUCCUCGACCUUGUACAUAGAUGCUCACAGAGAGACCGUGGACCACAAGUACACUCCUAUUUAACGGACCUUCGUAGUUAGGCUAAGAACUGUACUAAGAGCGCCGCUUACGAUCGAUUACGAUCUUCAGUUGAGCGACGAACUUGAAAACGCGAGUGAAAAGAAACAGGUGGUGGAAAGUACUUACACUGAAAAGCGUCAGCUGUGCAAUUGUUUUCAGAAACAUUCAGACUUUCAAGACGAUCCGUUAACGAUCGUGAUCAUCGAUGC